CUGCAGCUAAUUAAGCCAACCAUGUUCCUUUCCUCAUGGGGGCCUGGUGUGCAAUGGCUGCAAACGGCAGCCUCCUUGGUAGUGUAUGCAGCCUGUUGCUUUAUAGGUUCCUCUAAGGGACCUAGGAGACAUUC